AACGAACGCUGGCGGCAUGCCUAACACAUGCAAGUCGAACGAGACCUUCGGGUCUAGUGGCGCACGGGUGCGUAACGUGUGGGAACCUGCCCUUAGGUUCGGAAUAACUCCCCGAAAGGGGUGCUAAUACCGGAUAAUGUCUUCGGACCAAAGAUUUAUCGCCUUUGGAUGGGCCCGCGUGGGAUUAGCUAGUUGGUAGGGUAAAAGCCUACCAAGGCGACGAUCCAUAGCUGGUCUGAGAGGAUGAUCAGCCACACUGGGACUGAGACACGGCCCAGACUCCUACGGGAGGCAGCAGUGGGGAAUAUUGGACAAUGGGCGAAAGCCUGAUCCAGCAAUGCCGCGUGAGUGAUGAAGGCCUUAGGGUUGUAAAGCUCUUUUACCCGGGAUGAUAAUGACAGUACCGGGAGAAUAAGCUCCGGCUAACUCCGUG
rnacentral:rRNA from 1 species